AUAUUUAAUUAGAUUUCAGAAGAAAAAUUGUCAGAUGGAUUUCACGUUUUCAGACCAGUGAGUGAGGAAGACAGACCUACGAGAGAAGAGGAAGACCACAGACACAUGGGAUUUUUGGACUGAAACCUGCCUAAAUGCUGUGGAUUGAACACAAACUUAGAAGGAACUUCUUUCCUGGUUCCAGUUUUAAUGUAACUGAUGUUAAAAAUGGUUUACACUGUAUAGAGGAAAAAAUGUAGAAAGAAAACUUUUGGAAUGAGACUCUUUGGCUCUGACUUGGAUAACAGCCUAAAUGUUACUAUAAAUGUAAACUGUAUCCAAAUGUGGCCCCCUUAGGUCAUUCCUGACUGUU